AUACUCUUCUGUUUAAAAAUCAGUCUUUAACAGAUUUCUUGCUAGGCCUGUGGAUUUCUUCCACGUUAUCUUUCACAAUUUUUAUUCCACAUUACAUGUUUUUUCCUGUUCCAAGGCCUGUGCUCCAUUCUCAUUCCUUUCAGUCCAACAUGACUUUUACUUCCCUGGGACACGGGUAGGGGGAAGGAGCACACUGCAAUACAUGCGGAAUGUUUGUGUGGGAGUGAGCUGUGUGGGAGUGCUUCCUGCAGCACUUUACAGACACACAGAAGGACAAGUUUAAAACCAGUUGCUGGUGUUUACAGACGUGCAGUCAUCAUGGGGCCUAGUCUGGAAAGGCUGAUGGUCUGAGGAGGCAACAAUGUGCAUUCCAGGCAGCGUGCACUGCAGCAGCACACCCCUCUUUGGAAUGUUAUUCCCUCAAGACUCCCAUGGCACAGAGAGAUGGCGACAAAGCAGCAUCAAGCAAUUGCCUCCUGGCUAGAAUUCUCGGCAAACCCUCAUGACUAUUGACUCAAAUGAGCAGCCCAGCAACAGGGGAACAGACACCAUUUGAUUCACAGAUUAUCACAUGGAUCCCAAGAACAGCAUGACUAUGCUGACCAUGAGGAGUCUGCAGCUUCCAGUUUUGACCACCAGCCUGCAGUAUCAAUAACAAGCACAAAGGAACUGAUGUGAUGUGCAGCCAGGUGACUUUGUGCACUACCCAACAGCCUGGACCACAGAAGCACUCAGAGACGGGUCAAGAACAACGCUCACUUUUCUGAAUGGCUUUCCUCUCCAAGUGUGGAUGUCAGACCAUUUAUCAUGGGUCACGACAUCCAGUCAUAGAGAACUCCUUGCAGCAGCAGAAGAGGAUAAGAAAAACCCUCAGUUACCCAGAUGAUUUCUUCCUGUAAGUUGAAACUCUGCUCAUGGCAUGCACUGAGAGACUGUCCAUCCCUACCUCUGUGGAUAGAAAGGAAAUUGGUUCCUUUGUUGUGGGAAAUGUUCUGUAGUUUUCUUCUCAAUUUCAGUCAGUGGUGAGAAUCAUUCCCCACUUCAUGAAAUGUUAUUGGCAUGUAGAGAAAAAUACAACCUCUAUGCAGCCCUUUUCCUUUGGGGUUUCCUCACCCUACCUGAAUGUUUUUCAAGCUGUUGUGCUACCUGUGGUCUUCAGGUGAAACCUUCUUCCUCUUAAUAAUGUAUAUUGCCACUUUUCCUAGUCUGAUUUUGUGCCAAAUGAUUUUAGCUUGAGAGCUAAAUACCCAUUGUUUUUGGUGAGCACCGAGUGGAAUAAGAUGAGUCUGAAGGUUUUUUUUUUAGAAACACUCAGGAAACAACUGCUGCCAUAAUCACAAGGGAAUAGUGAUCCCUCUUGAUAAAUUCAAUUUGUUCAUAACCUUUUGACACAGACCAUAAAUAACCUUUAUAUAUCUCACACACACACAAGGGCAUAUACAGUAUGUGACAUAAACAAUGUAUAUAAAUAUUUACAAAAAUAGAAAAUAAAUGUAAAGUGCCAUAAAAACUACCCAUUUAUUAGCAAGUGGUUAACUGCUUGUUCCAGUUGAUACCUGGGGUGCCUGCCAACUCUGUUUGCUGUGCCACUGUACUGGCUGAGGUACAAAACCAUAGCAAAGGAAGUACCAACCCACGGGCAAUGAGGCUGUUUCUGCAGAGGUUGCCCCAGAGAUGAAGGGAAGCUGAGGUUGGGUUCUGGCUCCUUUAAGGGCUAGCAAGAUUAUCUGCUCUGACAAAAAAUCAAAACGAUAGAGAGAAAAAAACCAAAAACCGUAGAAACUACUUUUAAUUCUGAAAACUAUUCUCUGUGAUAUUAUUUAUUAUUUUAUUUAGACUCACUUGAUAAUAAUAUUAAAAAAAAACAAAAGUAUGUGUAAGAAUUCAAAGUGGUAAAUCAGAAAAUGUUAUGGAGGGAAGAAUUAUUCCUAAUUCAGCUUUAUUCCUAAAAAAGACAUAUUACCUCUGUAUUAAAAAACACAAAAUGGGCUUGGCUUCCUAACUUCUUUCUAUGUUCCUUUUUGUGCUUUAAAACCUAUAGGAAGGUGUCCCAUCUGAUAAACUAAAUGCUUUAUGUUUUCAGUAAUAUCAUGAAAAAUGCUGAUCAUUUUUGGGUAAAAAAUUAACAGAAUGUGCUAUAUGUUAGAAAGUACUGAAAUUUAUUACUUAUUUCAGUAGUAGCAAAACUUCUUGCAGAAGAUCCAAGAUAAAAAGGAUUCAAUUCACAGCCUAUAUCAUUCUGAUUUUUGUUCAAAAUUAAAAGAAGCAAUUAAAUUUAGACCUCUCAAGUAUAAUUAUGAUGAUGUACAUUUUUCAAAGAAAAAAAAGAACUGUUAAGAACAGGAGUCAGAGACCUAUUCCUAAUGGUAGAAAACGUCCCUUUUAACUUUUUUUCAUCUUUGUUGAGCAAGGCUGUAUGGAGCUUGAAUGUGCACAGUCAGAAAAGGAAAUGUUGGCCAAAGCAGCUCUUAGCCUUUUGCACACCUUUGGUUUCGGUGAUGGGGCUCAGAGCCCUGGAAAGUGUAAGAGCACAACAGGCAGGGAGCAGGCAGCCUCCUCAUUCACAGACACAUGGUAAGGAUGCAUGAUGGAUAAAGGGAUGUUGCAGAUUACACCUUGAGUGCAGCACUUGGGAAAACCAACAUGUUUCUGCUUUCCUCAGAGCAGUGUGCUUAGUCUUUCUUACCAACAUGGGCAGCAUAACAACUAGAAUACAUUAUCUAUGACAAAUAAUAACAAGCUGUCAUUAUCAGUAUUAUAUAUUCAGAAUAUUCUGAAUAGAGAGCAGCUCCUCACAAAUAUAUCUUUCUAAGAGAAUGACCGUAACUGCUCAUCCAUGUUAAUUAAACAGGACCUCAUCUCCUUGUAAUGCGGCUCUGCCAGGUGCAGAUGCUGUUGUGAGUUUGGUGUUACCCACAGUAAGUCAGGGCUCAGGGCUGAGUGAUGGAAACCAGGGGAGACCUGAUCUGCAUGUGAUGCUGCAAGGCUGCAGAACCACUGAGGCUGAGAAGGAAAGCUCUUUAGGACUAUUAAUCAAAAUGCAGUUUCGUUUAAGGGUGGCAUUUUGCUAAUGCCUACUUAAUUGAGAAGUAUGUUCUUCAGUAGCGAUGAACCCUUUCACAGUACCAAUUAGUUCACAUUAUGCCAUGACAAGUGGAGGAAAUGGUGACAGCACAAGGAUUCAAUUUCCUAAAUAAUAAAAUACAAGCUAUACGAAUGUAAGUAGAAACAAAUUUACAAUACAUUUGAAGCUAUUACAUGGCUUUACAACACAUUUAAAUGCCUUUACUUAAUUUGGGCCACCUUCCCUCUAAACUUUCUGCUUUUAAACCAAAUGAGGGAUGUUCAUUUAGACUAUGCUGGUCAUUACUCCCAUGUCUUCAUGUUUUCGCCGCAGCAGUUGGAAACAGUCCUGCUUCAGCUUUAUUUAUUUAAGUUUCAUUUUAGGAAAGUAUAAAGUUAAGGAGAGACCUCAAGAACUUGGAGAAACUUCAGAGUUGAAACUCUGCCAGGCAACAUAGAUUAGAGUGUACACUCUGACAGGCCAGGAGCAGCUAGGAAUGAAAGAUCAAAGAAGCCAUGAGAAGCAAAAAUAGCCAGAGAUCUCUAGAACAGAUAUCAUAUAUUAAAUUAAUUACAAGAGCAAGAGUUACAUGUCUAGACAGUACCAUCUACUAAAGAGAGGGGACAGCCAAAUCGUGUGCUUCCUUUCAAAUCUUCCUUCCUUUCCUUCUUUCUCUACUUCUUUAAUGCCCAUGCCCAAGGAGAGCUGUUUAUUUUACCACACAUUUCACUGGAACUUUAUCUAGUUAAUGGGGGUUCCACAAAUUAAUCUGGGAUGCUGCAGCAUAAUUCAGCAGAUUAUACUUUGAAAUAAAAUUUCCAGGCAUUACACUUCACUUUCCUGUUCAGAUUUUCAUCCCAUUAUCUCAGUUGACAAUCUUACAGUGUUUAUCAUUAAAGAUUCAAAAUUACCACCAGUUAACACACCACAGUGUCUGAAAUACUGAGCCCAUUUUCUGUGAUAAGAUAAACACAUCAGAAUAAAUACUUCAGUGACAAACUCAAUAAUUUUCCCCCAUAAUUAAGGUUUAAAGCCCUCAAAUGUUUGUAGAUUUUUAUCAUAUUUUCACAUGGUCAACACUUACCAAAACUCAGAACUUAACCUUUUUCUAUUGAAUCAUCUCCUCCAGUCUUUUAAUGUAUUUUUGUUUCUAUUUCAAGGUCAAUUUUAAAAGGAAAUAAAAAUGUGGCCUUAGCAGGCUGAUGUAAGGCACAAAAAUGAUGGAACAAUUUGAGGGAUUCAGUUUUAGUGAAUUACCAGGACUGAAUGAUUUCCCUCCAGAAUUCUGAAACUAGAAAAUUAUUACGUACAGUAUGUGUAGAUGAGAACAAACACUGUCUUUUUAAGAUAGUAACAGGAAUAAUAAUAUAUAACAUCCCCCCUGCAAAAUCACUCUUCUCAGAGAUUGAAAGGCAUGAAUAUGGCACCUUCUUCAGGGUUUUGGAUUUCUUUUGAGAAAGGGUGUGAAAUUUGUGAUUCAUUUUAGUGCUGAGAAAGCUAAUGAAUUCUUCUAAAGAAGAUAAUGUUGCAGUACUUGGAGGACAAUGGCCUGAAAGGAUCAAAACUGUGAAGCUUCUGCAAACGGAAAGUGAGUUAGGGCAUAGCAGGUGACAGUGAGCAGGGAAAGAAAUACCCUGGACUUGGAGAAAUCACAUGACAAAGGCAAUGUGAGGAGAGCAUGUAAGGCAAUACUUUUCUGUGUAGAAAGGAAUUCUUACUGAUUAAACUAAUUAUUUUAUUCUUUGGAGUCCAUCGAUCCUGUCCACCAGCUAGGAAGGACAAUUGAAAUUCUACUGGGUUAGGAUGGAUAGCCUCCAUUGUGUUUCUCUGGACAUGCCCACACAGCUGACCAGGAAGAAGGUAAGAGUUAGACAUUGUCAACAAGUCAUUUUGACAGGCUGCAGAACUGAUUUGACCUAUGGAAAGUUGCUGGGAGAACUGAGGUUGUCAUCAUCAGCUCCCGUACAAUCCCACAGAACACAGAACACAAACGUCUGACUGUAACAAGAGAGGCCAUGUCUGCUCCUGCACCUGGGCUUGACUUUCUGGAUACGUCCUAGGGGGCCAGACUCCCAAGACAUCAAGGUCAGUAGUGCUGGGGGAGAUCUGUGCAGAAUCUGCUUGUGGAGAAGUUAGAUAGCUUGCAUUUAGGGAAUCUCAUGUUUAAAAGGAUAGCAACAACUGAACUCAACAAGAUAUAAAAUGAGGGUGUUUCUUUUUUCUUAUUUUUUCUUUUUCUCUAAGUCUGUAAACAACACAGGCAUUUGCAUAAUUCCAUCCUACAAAACCACAUCCUCUUGGCUAUAGGAGCACACCCUGUUUUACACACAUCAGUUUGGGAAGGACAUUCUGGACACAGAUCUUACCUAACGUGCCAGACUAUGAACCAAGAGGACCUUGGUCUGAGCCUGGCCAGUGUCAGGGGAAAGGCUUCCUCUCACCUUGGAUUCAUCCUAAGUCUCUAAAAGGAGUUAUUUAAGUGGAGGUAGGCGAAACAACAAAGGGCAUCUGCUUUCCCUUGUGUGUGUAGAUCCACAGAGAGAAAAAAGAAGGGCACAUGGCUGUACAGAAAUAUAUUCCCCUAUCUGACUUGAAAUCAAACCGUGGAAUCCACUGCUAUUCAGUCAAAUAUUCUGAGAGAAUUUUUAAAACGGGUUGGAUUAGUUCAUUGUUAUUUGUUUCAGCUACUCUCAAAUAAACAGAUAAAUAUGUGACUGUUUAAGCAGGAUGCUGUUUUCCAGCUUCAAAAUUAUACAACUGAGAGCAAAGUUUGGCUAUCUAAAAGUAAUCAAACCCAAUGCUUGAUGCUGUACAGCAACCUUUUUGCCUGAAGAGGUCAGGAAGGAAAUAUUUUCCCACAUUAAUAGGUAACCUCAGUUUCAUUUUUCAGCAGUUGUUAUGUUCUUAAGUACUUGCUCGUUACCACUCGAGACACAAUACGCCACUGCCCAGUUCUCUGUGCCAGAGGUUUUACGAGUUAGGAGAAAUGUUUCAUACUCAAGAGUAGAGGACUGUUGUCUCCUUCCAUUCAUAAGGUAUACUUUUGUCAUAAGGUAUCUGUUUGGUCUCCAGCUUUUGCCCCACUUAUCCUUUCAUUCAUCCAAGUGUAAUUGUUAAGGUAGGCCCUAUGUCUGGGCUUUACUUAUCAAAAGCCAGGUGAACAAAGAAGCAAAGCAUGGCAUUGUUAACAGUGGCUCUCCGGUGUGUGAAGGUACAAAACUCCAUGAGUACACCUCUGCUUAAUGAGAAAGCACAGGUGUUCUGACAAGCAAGAACAAAUAAUAAUUAAAAAAAAAAAGCUGCUAUCCUGUCAAAUACUGUUUGCAUAUCAAGGAUCUGGAAUACAAAGCAGACUUAACAGCAAUCACAUUUUGAGUAGAAUUCACUUGAAUGUAACACCUUCUCCCUCUAAGGUUUUGAAUGUGGUAUCUUAAAGAAGAUCACACAAAUUACUCAUUCCAGGAACAAAGGCUCUUUUUGAAAGCUGUCAGCUUGCUGACAGUUAUGAUGAGCAUUUACUUCAGGCUUGUAAAACAUAUUAAUCAAACUUGUUCCUAUAGCUUCAGUCCAAGGAGGGUUACUGAUUCUUUUAGAGAAAUGUUUUACAUAAGUGAAGAGCUCUGAGUAUGUAUACACCUUGAAUGCAAACCACUGUCUAUGCCAUUCAUUUAUUCAUAAUGAAUAAAUACUAGUCUAUAUCAGGAUUAAGGAGAAUUGAAGCAGUGUAUGGAAAUCUGUUUAUUACAAGACUAUUUGCCAAAGACCUGUGCACCGUUCAUUGAACCCUGAAAAACAUCUGAAAAUAUGGAUUGCAUUUGCAAACUUCAGUGUAUGACAUGGAGAGCUGGCAAACUGCCUGGUUUCUACUUAAAGGAUUGUCAUUCUGGGAAAAAUAAAUUUCUCUAACUAGACAAAAGUCAAUGUUUUCAUGUUUUACUGCAAUCAAACUGAUACGGCUGACAAUUUAAUGUCUCAACACUUAAAAUAUCUGUGGAUAAUCAGUUACCUCAAUCAAUCAUAUCUACAAGAUUUCUCUAUUUUCAAAGCCUGUAUACAUAUGACAGAGAUAUCUAACAGUUUAGAGAAACCUUCCCGUCCUUAAUGCUUCAUGAUUUCUCUUCAACUAUGCAGGUUUUUUUUUCUCCAUAUGCAAGACUUCAUAAUUGCUGGAAAAAAAUAAAUAAAUCCAACCCUGCACUGUAAUCAGAUUUUGAAACCUUUGUGUUAAUGUCCUGUUUUAUUUAAUUUUAUGUAUAUUUUAUAGUCUGCUUGCCUGUCAGAAAGAUGUGGAAAUGUGCUGGCAUUCCAGCUCAAGACAUCAUUAUGAGUGAGAAAAUGCUCAAGGCUUUUUCAAAGUGGGUGCUGAAACAUACGUUUCUCUUCUUUGACUCCAGGGGAUGCUAACAGCUGCCCCAGCAGACAGGUACUGCGAGGUCAAAGGCUAGCAGUGCUGUGCACCUCCAGGUUUUGACUGCCAGCAAGGUAGAUGGGUGGUUUCUCAAAACUAAUAAUAAAAAUAGCAGCAGUGAUGAGAAGAAGGAACUGACAACAAAAAUGAAAAGAAACCUGCAGGAAGUGAAUUCUGGGUAGCACAACGCUUGGCAGAGCUGAUUUUAAUAUCUGACAGGUUGAGUUCACUAAUCUUUGCUAUUCGUAUUGACGUGAAACUUCAUACAGUUUUAGAGAUUUAUAUCUAUUAAGACAUGCAGCAGUGUUCCUACAACAUGGGAACAAGUUUGCUAGUGCCUACUGUUCUUCUUCUUCCCUGAUAAAAAUUGAUAUGAACUGUUUUAAAUGCCUAACAGAUAAUUACUCUGAACACUCAAUAAAGAAAGUUACAUCUUUAGGGCUUCCUUUAUCUUUAAAAAAUAAUAAAAAAACCAAGCCCCAGACCCAUCAACAAGACAAAACAACGUUCUUCCCUCCGUCUUCCCCCCUUUCUUUUGUUUCUUUGAUUACUUGGAGCCUUGUAAUCAAACUAAGCUUAGUUUCAGGACCCUUGGGGCAGUAUCUCUUAGUUCCCUGUCAGACUGCGUUGCAAAACAAUCAAUCUUGCUCUUGCACUCACUUGGCGGAAGUGCCGCGACACGAAGAGCGCAGUGCUUUGCUCUUGCUGUGAAGCUUCGAUGACAAAAGUUUUUAUCAGAAGCUGACUGUAUUUAGGGUUAUGAAUAUGCAAUGACUCUCAUUAGUAUUGAAGCGCAGGAGCACAGGCUGACAUCCCCCGCCACUUUUAGCUGCUGCAGAAUCGUCUAAUGAAUUGUCUUGCUCUUUCACUUGCACAGGCACUGCUGUUAUGGCUCCCUGUUCCAAGGGGAGUUGCCCAGUUUGAGAAUACUGUUGACUGCAGAAAUUAAUUGCCAGGAACUGCUCUUGAUUUUGUUAAACAAUGUUGAGACAGUGUUUAAAUCGCCAAAACAGAAAACCAUUAAGCUUUGCACAAGACAGAGCCAUCAUGAGUGAAGGAACAUGCAUGUCCUUGUGCCAGGCAUGCCAUGGGUUUGCGUGCAGUCUUGCGGUCACACCUGCGUGCAUGAAGAUGUCUGCGUGCUAGUGGAGGGACUCAGAGAUGUGGCUUCACAUUGAUCUAUUUAUUGUUCUCCCAGAUAGAACAAAUGAGGAUAAGGUGCCGUCCUCCAAAUGAGCAGUAUUCCAAUACAUUGCUGUUUGAUCAACCUGUUAAUACUCUUUCUUUUUCCUCUGGGACCCUGCCAAACAUUUUUCAGCUCACACAUCUGCAAUCUUUUUACGAAUAAAGCACUGAUAAGAAUGUUGCCAACAAAUGAUUAAGAUAUCUGGCUUGAUUUGUAGUAUUUGAGGAGACGUGAAAGCUUUUGGAAACAAGUGGAAAUGCCCCCUUUUCCCAAUUGGUUAAAUUAAGUUUUUUUUUUUCCUAUUCAUCUGAAAUUUCUCCUGACAUAAAAGGAGCUUUUGUGGCUCUCUGCAGAUUGUGAAGGAUGGAGUGAAUUGAAACAGAUAAUAUAUUCCAAAAAGCAUAAGUAGCAUUCUGAAAGGUGUGCGCAUACUGCAAAUAAUGAAGGAUAUGAGGUUCUCCCAAGAAGAUGUCAGCCGUGUGCAGCUCUUUAUCCAUUCAAUCAGUAAUGGAAAUAGUCCCAGUGCAAGCAGGAGGAUCUGUUUAAUUUUUACUGCGAUUUUUGGCACUGCUGCUCUAAAGUGAGCUUGGUUUACCUCUUGACCCAACCCCAGGAGUGCCUGUUCUCGUCAGCUGGAGAAAAAAUAAACAUAAAAAAAAACAUCUACAUAUUGGGAGUAUCGAAUACAAGAGCAGUUUAAAAUAAAUGCAGUUCUGACAAAAGUGGCUCAAGUAUCAUACAUCAAACACUUGUUACCUCUCUUGGCCUUAGUGAUUGCACGUGACUAAGAAAGAGUGAGUGAUAAAAUCCGAAGAAAGAUGAAACCAAUCUGGGCCUUUUUAAAGAUCAUCAAUCAUUCUGCGCAGCCAUGAUAUUAUUAGUUCCAGUAAGCCUUGUUCUCCCAUUUUAUGGACAUCAUAAACCCCCCACCCCUCCACCAAUGCUACCAUGGGAAAUCAUUUUUAUGGGCAGCAUCUUAGCAUGGGCCAAUCAGAUCUAAUCACAUAACAAGCUACUGAAUUAUUCAACGUUCUCCCUAAUUCUGCAUUCUUCCUGCACUUUGCUGUCACUGCAGGGUUUUAAAAGUAUGUGUUUUUACAAUAUUUAUUAAGAAGAUAACCGUACGCAGGAAUUUUGCUUUCUCGAUGUCUUUCAAUAAUUGUUUGUUCCCUUAGAUGGUUGUACUAUAUACACAACUGUACAGAGAAUAUUUUCUCAGAAAAGAACAGCUAUUCAUAAUGUGGCAUUCGGCUCUAAACUCUUUCGGCUUUUAAAAUACUCAGCGUAAGGACAAUAGUGAAACAAUUGUGUUCAAACAUAAAAUAUUCAGAUUUACAGAGCAAACUGUAACCAGCAUGUCUCUUAGCUGUUGCUAUGAAUACAGGGCUCACAUUGUAUAUGAAAAUAUUUCAGUUUUAAUUGCAAAUCUGUGCAGAGAUGAUUUGGGGUCUGUAAUUAGCACAUAAAUUCCAGACUUUGUGACUGCUGUGAAAACACACAUUAUUUAUGGAACGAUUAUCUAAACAUAAUUCAGUGUUUUUUUGCU